CAGUGGGGAAUAUUGGACAAUGGGCGCAAGCCUGAUCCAGCCAUGCCGCGUGAGUGAUGAAGGCCUUAGGGUUGUAAAGCUCUUUUGGCGGGGACGAUAAUGACGGUACCCGCAGAAUAAGUCCCGGCUAACUUCGUGCCAGCAGCCGCGGUAAUACGAAGGGGACUAGCGUUGUUCGGAAUCACUGGGCGUAAAGCGCACGUAGGCGGAUAUGUCAGUCAGGGGUGAAAUCCCGGGGCUCAACCUCGGAACUGCCUUUGAUACAGCAUAUCUUGAGUCCGAUAGAGGUGGGUGGAAUUCCUAGUGUAGAGGUGAAAUUCGUAGAUAUUAGGAAGAACACCGGUGGCGAAGGCGGCCCACUGGAUCGGUACUGACGCUGAGGUGCGAAAGCGUGGGGAGCAAACAGGAUUAGA
rnacentral:rRNA from 1 species